GUGACCCGCUCUUAUCUUUUAGCUGGAUAGAGAAGUGAAUGACAAAGACAACAUUUAGAGAAAAAAAAGGAUUAUAUGACAAACUCACGAUGGUCUUUAAAGGACCAAUUCAUCAUUUUGGAGACGUGGACGGAUUUCAUGAAUUUUAAGAAUCUCUAAAUUGAAGGUUGGUUUACGAUAGAGGAAGGGGUCUAGGAUGAAACUAAAAAA
rnacentral:lncRNA from 1 species